AGGCGCGUAGCUCAGUGGUAGAGCAUCGCUUUGACGUAGCGAGGGUCAGCGGUUCGAUCCCGCUCGUGCCUA
rnacentral:tRNA from 1 species